GGUAUCAUAUCAAAAACCAUUACGACGUCCCAAUAAUUUAAGGAAUUGGAAGAUGUUUAUAAUUAGUUUAGAUAAUAAUCCUUGCCCACCUCAAAUGAAACCUCGUAAAAGUAGAUUAUAGUUUGCACAAAUCCACCAAGAUUUAGUGCAUAUAAAAUCGUCAUUUUUUAGUUAACGAGAUUCUAUCCCAUAACCCUCUCAGUUAGAUUGGUCUAUGAAAAAACUCUUAACCCCACAGUGAAGAUCUGUUACAUCACAACCACUCAAAUUAUCGAAAAAGAACUCAUAUUGAUUUUAGUAAAUAAUAUAAAACCAAUGGUUAAAUACUUUUCCAACAACUCAAGUUAUCGUAACACAAUUGUCAAGCAAAUACCUUUCCAAUAAAUUUACAUAACAAGUUGUUACAUUCACUCUUGAGAUCAUACACCAGAGCAUUAUUUUACACUAACCUUUUAUCUUUCACUUUUCUUCUUAGCAUAAGGCCAAACUAUUCACAAGCACAAAGCUCAUAGCAGCAGCUGAUGCACUCAAAGCAAGCGAGAGCAGCACAGAUUUGAGAGAACACAAUGGAGCAUU
rnacentral:lncRNA from 1 species